AGUGAACGCUGGCGGUAGGCCUAACACAUGCAAGUCGAACGGCAGCACAGUAAGAGCUUGCUCUUACGGGUGGCGAGUGGCGGACGGGUGAGGAAUACAUCGGAAUCUACUUUUUCGUGGGGGAUAACGUAGGGAAACUUACGCUAAUACCGCAUACGACCUACGGGCGAAAGCAGGGGAUCUUCGGACCUUGCGCGAUUGAAUGAGCCGAUGUCGGAUUAGCUAGUUGGCGGGGUAAAGGCCCACCAAGGCGACGAUCCGUAGCUGGUCUGAGAGGAUGAUCAGGCACACUGGAAGUGAGACACGGUCCAGACUCCUACGGGAGGCAGCAGUGGGGAAUAUUGGACAAUGGGCGCAAGCCUGAUCCAGCCAUACCGCGUGGGUGAAGAAGGCCUUCGGGUUGUAAAGCCCUUUUGUUGGGAAAGAAAAGCAGCAGGUUAAUACCCCGCUGUUCUGACGGUACCCAAAGAAUAAGCACCGGCUAACUUCGUG
rnacentral:rRNA from 1 species